AUGCGAUAAGUAAUGUGAAUUGCAGAAUUCAGUGAAUCAUCGAAUCUUUGAACGCACCUUGCGCUCCUUGGUAUUCCGAGGAGCAUGCCUGUUUGAGUGUCAUGAAACUCUCAAACCCAAGUUUUGGAUUUCGAUCCAUGCUUGAGUUUGGAUUUGGAUGUUUGCCGGUGAUAAGCCGACUCAUCUUAAAAGUAUUAGCUAGAUCUGUCUCUAUGACUGGUUUGACUUGGCAUAAUAAGUAUUUUGCUGAGGACAUCUUCGGAUGGCCAGGACCUAGACUAUUGUCUGCUAACUAAACCAUCACUUUAAGUGCAUCUUCGGAUGUUACUCAUUGUGUAACUUUGACAUCUGGCCUCAAAUCAGGUAGGACUACCCGCUGAACUUAA
rnacentral:misc_RNA from 1 species